GUGUAUUUGUAGUUUUUGGGGUAUUUAUUAUUGCUCAGGUUGGUUUUAGAAUAUUAACAGGAGACGGAGCUGCUAUAUUGAGGGGGUGUGGGUUAACCUAAUUUAUCCCAUGUUUAGAAAGGUCCUUUGAAUGUAUCACCGUUGGGUCUGUUGUAAAUGGCCCAGACAGGUGUCAGUCUUCUCUGCGGUUCUUAGCCAAUCAGUGACGGUGGGAGGCGGGCCUUAGAGAGGCGGCUCACAGCGGGAAAGCUUGCAGGAUAAUAAAAGAAAGAAGUGUGACGAUGCAGGAUGCGCUCUGGUCCACUGAGGUUUGGCAGAAGAUGUCCUAUGAUUUUUGGUUUGUCAUUAUUUUAAAUUGUAGUUUUCUAGAAGGCUGCAUCUUGACAUUGACAAGAACUUACUAAUAUUAUUUUAUAACUUUCACUAAAUGAAAAACAAAUACAGAUGGAAAAACUGCAGAUAAUUUAGUGUUUUUAAUAAUUCAUGGGUUCACGUUAUAUAUUAAAUUAACCCAGCAUAUAGUAUUAAAGAAAGUUGUUACAUAGACAGAUGGACAGUAUUGAACCCACAGCAGGGACAUUCAAUCACUGGAACAGCCACUAGAAGACAGCAAUGAAUUGUGCAGGAUUGCAAGAAAAAGGAGCAUAAAAAAUAACAGUAGUAAUAUUAAUAAUAAUAAUAAUAAACAAGAUUAUGUACAUAUUAACAACUCAAAUAGUGUCCAAGGUUAAGUGAGCAAACAGCGGUGCAAAUUUGAAGCGGUGGGGAUGGAGGACCUGCAGUAGUGCUCCUUCCUACACUGGGGUGGAUCAGUCUCCACUGAAGGAGCUGCUCAGAGCCCCCACAGUCGGGUGCAGUGGAUGAGAGGAACUGUCUGUGAUGGAUGUGAGCUUGGCCAAUAUCCUCCUCUGACCCACCUCCUCCACAGAGUCCUUUUGUCCUCAAUCUAUGUCCUCCAUAUUAAAAGUGUAUUAUUUGUGAUGAUGGGCUCAGCAGCGUCUGCAUUGCACUUAUUAACACUUAGCGUAACCUCAGAUUUUACUUCAGCCUCUUGCGACAGUUCCAUGCGCAGAAAUCUUUCUUCAUUUGUCAAGCAAUACUGCAGUUUUUGGCAAGAUGCAUGUAAUGGAGAAAUGUGGAUGGACCACCCAUCCUGCUGGUGCUGAAAUAGACUCCAUGGAGAGCUGUUGAUUUCCACAGAUCAGGAAACCUGGAGAAUUAACCCUGUUUUCUGUUCUCUUACUAGAAACUGAGAAAAUGGCUUGAGCAGGACUUGAAGGAUAAACAGGCUUUAGUAUAACAUAACCUAGUGCCAUGUUUUUAAAUAUCCAUAUUUAUUGUGGUAUUAAUGCCUGAGUCUGUAUAAAUAAUAAGAAGAAUGUCUGAUUCACUUCAGUGAAGGAUGAUUGUCUGUGCUGCCAUCUACAGUUAAAGCACGUUAACAGCGUUGGAUUUGUUUCUGGAGCAACAAAAGGCGGAAAUGUAAUCAAUAGGAUUAACAGGGAACUGUGGCUUACACUCUUCAGCCGCUGUUUUUUGUUUAGAAUUUUAAAAGUGAUCAUUUUAUUGGGGAACUCUCACAUGGCCCUGACUUGCACCAAAUAAAAAAGCGCCUGCAUGAGGAGCUAGUGAUGGUCCCAUGAGGAGAACCUUUCCUCACAUUCAGCUCAGAACGAUCUAACUGGGGACUUGAACGGAGGCUGUAAAAAUAGUUGGAAGGAGAAACCCCUCGUUCUGCCGUGGGCUGAGCUCGUCCCGGCCGGAGCGUCCACAGCUGAAAACACGGCUGUGUUUGUGUUUCACAUCCAUCAUCUGCUGGAGACGUUUGUCUGAUGGAGCAGAGUUGGACAAAGACACCGUGGAAGCGCAUUCUGCUCACACAGCGUUUCACACUAACUGUGUCAUAUAGUUCAAUAGGACAACUUGAUUUUAUGUUCGUCCUCGCCAGGACAACCUUUGUCUCCAGCAUUUGGUGGCAAAACGUCUGCACGUUUGUUAAAGUGGAGUCAAAUUCUCUUUUCAAAGGUUCUGUGUUUUAGAACUGAAAUCCAGAAAAUGGUCCUUGUGGUUUCCUUUUCAUUGUCUGUUCAUUUGGUGCUAAGUGGUAGGAAACACAUUAAGGUGAAACAAGAUCAGCAGCUUUUAUAGUUGACAAGCUAUACGCCAAUAUUUAUCAUAUGUGUAAACACAUUUGUAAUUGAAGAUUCCAACAUAUACAACAUCUCUGUACUUGGUCAGAACCACCGGUCUCUGCACACACACACACACACACACACACACACACACACACACACACACACACACACACACACACACACACACACACACACACACACACACACACACACAGGUUCUGUUUGACACACUGACUGCAGAGCUCUCCCCUGCAUUGAGAAAGUAUUCAUGCUUUAGCUGCGACAUGGUUUGUCCACUAGGUGUCACUAGUGCUCAACAUGCCUUUAAAUUUAAAAUGCCUGAAGUCAAAACUGAUGCGUUUUUCAGUGGGAGCUGCAGUGAUCAUUCUGAGUCCUGCUGGGUUUUAAGCGAGUGCGGCUGUCUGUCAGUCCUUCCAGCGUCACAGGUGACCCAGGUGAACGCUGGGCCUGCCUCCAUUUCCUGUGCUGCACAUAUGGUCUCUGAGGAUUAGCAGACGGCUUUACAGCAGCUUUACUCUCUGGCAGAAAAGGAUUCUCCAGCUUCUGAACAUUAGGGCUCCAUUUGGAAGUCUGACGCAGCAGCUGGUCGUCGUAACGAGCCGUCUCACCCACGACGGCCCCUCACAGUUCCAGACUUAGGAGGAUUUCCCUCCCAGAUUCCAUUUGGAAAACACACAGGCACAUGCAGAAUGAGAGCAGAGGACGAGUCGAUUCCUCGUAACCUUUCCUACUCUUGUUCCCCCCCUAAAACCCAGCUCUUUAAUGGUGGGCAUUUGUGCAGCUUUUCUUAAUGAUUUUAAAGUAACAGGUCUAACUUUGAGCUGUGAACUUCAAACUAGUGAAA